rnacentral:rRNA from 1 species
AUUGAACGCUGGCGGAAUGCUUUACACAUGCAAGUCGAACGGCAGCACGGGGGCAACCCUGGUGGCGAGUGGCGAACGGGUGAGUAAUACAUCGGAACGUGCCCAGUCGUGGGGGAUAACGUAGCGAAAGUUACGCUAAUACCGCAUACGAUCUACGGAUGAAAGCGGGGGACCGUAAGGCCUCGCGCGAUUUGAGCGGCCGAUGUCAGAUUAGGUAGUUGGUGAGGUAAAGGCUCACCAAGCCGACGAUCUGUAGCUGGUCUGAGAGGACGACCAGCCACACUGGGACUGAGACACGGCCCAGACUCCUACGGGAGACAGCAGUGGGGAAUUUUGGACAAUGGGCGCAAGCCUGAUCCAGCCAUUCCGCGUGCAGGACGAAGGCCUUCGGGUUGUAAACUGCUUUUGUACGGAACGAAAAGGCUCUGGUUAAUACCUGGGGCUCAUGACGGUACCGUAAGAAUAAGCACCGGCUAACUACGUGCCAGCCGCCGCAGUAA